CAGCACCUCAAGUGGUCAGGAUGAUUAUUGGGCCUAAAGCAUCCGUAGCCGGCUCUGUAAGUUUUCGGUUAAAUCCAUACGCUCAACGUAUGGGCUGCCGAAAAUACUGCAGAGAUAGGGAGUGGGAGAGGUAGACGUGACUCGGUAGGAAGGGGUAAAAUCCUUUGAUCUAUCGAUGACCACCUGUGGCGAAGGCGGUCUACCAGAACACGUUCGACGGUGAGGGAUGAAAGCUGGGGAGCAAACCGGAUUAGAUACCCGGGUAGUCCCAGCUGUAAACGA
rnacentral:rRNA from 1 species